GGCUUUUCCUAUUAAAAGAUAAGAGAUUUCUGUGCUCACAGAAUAACAUUCGUUGCCGCCUCCUAUAGCAGUGUCUGCUCUUCGUAACCGUCACCGUCAACCAUGAUCAUUCCAGAGAAAAACCGCCGCGAGAUCUCGAAGUACCUCUUCCAAGAGGGAGUUUGCUUUGCAAAGAAAGACUUCAAUCUUGCAAAACACCCAAACAUAGAUGUGCCAAAUCUACAGGUUAUUAAGCUGAUGCAGAGCUUCAAGUCAAAGGAGUAUGUUCGUGAAACCU
rnacentral:misc_RNA from 1 species